AGCAGUAGAAAUAUUGUUAUAUACAACAAAAUAUUAAUCAAAUAGAAUAGGAAUGUAAGAAAGAUGUCAAGAAAUAAGUACAAGAAAUAUUUACGUGAAUAAGAGUAAGGCAAGAAUACAGAAACAGCACAGGAUAGGUAGACAUUUGAACCACAUGCGGGGAUAAUUAAACAGGUGAGAAUAAUGAGGUCAUAAAAAAGGGAUGGACACACAAAUGGGAGGAAGUGAC